UGAGGAAUUUUGGUCAAUGGGCGAGAGCCUGAACCAGCCAAGUCGCGUGCAGGAUGACGGCCCUAUGGGUUGUAAACUGCUUUUAUAUGGGAAUAAAGUGAGGGACGUGUCCCUUAUUGCAUGUACCAUAUGAAUAAGGACCGGCUAAUUCCGUGCCAGCAGCCGCGGUAAUACGGAAGGUCCAGGCGUUAUCCGGAUUUAUUGGGUUUAAAGGGAGCGUAGGCUGUUUGUUAAGCGUGUUGUGAAAUGUAAGAGCUCAACUUUUAGAUUGCAGCGCGAACUGGCAGACUUGAGUGCGCACAACGUAGGCGGAAUUCGUGGUGUAGCGGUGAAAUGCUUAGAUAUCAGGAAGAACUCCGAUUGCGAAGGCAGCUUACGGGAGCGCAACUGACGCUGAAGCUCGAAGGUGCGGGUAUCAAACAGG
rnacentral:rRNA from 1 species